GCACCUUCUCGUGGAGUCUGCUGCCGCCCUCCGAUCGACGCGCCUCCGCCUCGCCGUCGCCUUCGCCACCCCUCGCCUCCGCCUCGCCGACGCCGAAACCCUUGCCGCCGCGUGCGGCCGACCAUCGUCGACAGCUUGGGGACUGGGUUCGCUCGGCGAUCAUGGCGCUCGCUUCUCGCCUCGUUUCCAAGUUUAGAUACUCUGUGUUUGCUUCAAUUCCUGAGUGAACUGCGGCAUAUCUCACGAAGCUUGCUCGCAUCUCCGUGAAACCAUACUGAAGUGAGGAUCAUCCACGGGACAUGAUGGGUUCGGAGGUUGAAGUCUUCCUUGGUCCAGCUCCAUGCGGAAGGUGCCAUUCUUGAAAGGAGGCUAAAGUAUCUAAGGAGUUGCUCUUAUUAGAAACUUCAAAGGGUCUUGUUCAUGUAUUUUUUGCCCAACGUACGACAUCAAAGGUGCCUAAUGUCACUGACGUUGGGUUAAAACCAAGGAAGGUGAAAAAGGUUGCUGUGAUAGGUGGAGGUCUAAUGGGUUCUGGCAUUGCUACCUUAACUAAUUACUGUUGCUAAGGCCUGUGGGUUGCUCGGGGAAGGGAAACUUAGUGAGCAGUUGCAAGGGUUUAUUAUCAAGUUUGGUCUCCUGGCCAAUGCUUGUGUGGAAGCAGCUUUGCUUGAUAUGUGCACUCAUUGUGGGAGGAUGGUGGCUGCAGGAAAAAUGUUCAAACGAUGGCCUUUUGAGUGGGAUAGCUCUAUUAUUUGUACUUCUAUGAUAUGUGGGUAUGCACAAAAUGGGCUGCCGGAUGAGGCAAUAUCACUAUUUUGCCGUUGUAAAGUAGAAGGGAGCAUAAUUCUUGAUGAAAUUGCAUCAAUUUCAAUACUUGGUGUUUGUGGAAC